rnacentral:rRNA from 1 species
AUUGAACGCUGGCGGCAGGCCUAACACAUGCAAGUAGAGCGGCGCGGCGGACGGGCGAGUAAUGACUAGGAAUCUGCCUGGUGGUGAGGGAGAAAGUCCGGAAACGGGCGCUAAGACCGCAUACUAUCAGAUGAGCCUAGGGCGGAUUAGCUAGUUGGUGGGGUAAAGGCCUACCAAGGCGACGAUCCGUAACUGGUCUGAGAGGAUGAUCAAUCACACUGGAACUGAGACACGGUCCAGACUCCUACGGGAGGCAGGAGUGGGGAAUAUUGGAUAAUGGGCGAAAGCCUGAUCCAGCAAUGCCGCGUGUGUGAAGAAGGCCUUCGGGUUGUAAAGUACUUUCAGCGGGGGGGCGUUACCCGAAGAAGAAGCACCGGCUAACACCGUGCCAGCAGCCGCGGUAAUAC